UCUAUUAUCAACAGUCUCCAGGUUACAGUCCAUAGUGGCCGUCUCUAUUAUCAACAGUCCCCAGGUUACAGUCCAGAGUGUCCGUCUCUAUUAUCAACAGUCCCCAGGUUACAGUCCAGAGUGUCUGUCUCUAUUAUCAACAGUCCCCAGGUUACAGUCCAGAGAGGCCGUCUCUAUUAUCAACAGUCCCCAGGUUACAGUCCAGAGUGGCCUUCUCUAUUAUCAACAGUCCCCAGGUUACAGUC